GAUGAACGCUGGCGGCGUGCCUAAUACAUGCAAGUCGAGCGAACAGAUAAGGAGCUUGCUCCUUUGAAGUUAGCGGCGGACGGGUGAGUAACACGUGGGUAACCUACCUAUAAGACUGGGAUAACUUCGGGAAACCGGAGCUAAUACCGGAUAACAUUUAGAACCGCAUGGUUCUAAAGUGAAAGAUGGUUUUGCUAUCACUUAUAGAUGGACCCGCGCCGUAUUAGCUAGUUGGUAAGGUAACGGCUUACCAAGGCGACGAUACGUAGCCGACCUGAGAGGGUGAUCGGCCACACUGGAACUGAGACACGGUCCAGACUCCUACGGGAGGCAGCAGUAGGGAAUCUUCCGCAAUGGGCGAAAGCCUGACGGAGCAACGCCGCGUGAGUGAUGAAGGGUUUCGGCUCGUAAAACUCUGUUAUUAGGGAAGAACAAAUGUGUAAGUAACUGUGCACAUCUUGACGGUACCUAAUCAGAAAGCCACGGCUAACUACGUGCCAGCAGCCGCGGUAAUACGU
rnacentral:rRNA from 1 species